rnacentral:rRNA from 1 species
GGGACUGCGCAGCUACACAUGCAAGUCGAGCGGAACGACACUAACAAUCCUUCGGGUGCGUUAAUGGGCGUCGAGCGGCGGACGGGUGAGUAAUGCCUAGGAAAUUGCCUUGAUGUGGGGGAUAACCAUUGGAAACGAUGGCUAAUACCGCAUAAUGCCUACGGGCCAAAGAGGGGGACCUUCGGGCCUCUCGCGUCAAGAUAUGCCUAGGUGGGAUUAGCUAGUUGGUGAGGUAAUGGCUCACCAAGGCGACGAUCCCUAGCUGGUCUGAGAGGAUGAUCAGCCACACUGGAACUGAGACACGGUCCAGACUCCUACGGGAGGCAGCAGUGGGGAAUAUUGCACAAUGGGCGAAAGCCUGAUGCAGCCAUGCCGCGUGUAUGAAGAAGGCCUUCGGGUUGUAAAGUACUUUCAGUUGUGAGGAAGGGGGUGGCG